rnacentral:lncRNA from 1 species
AGGAGGACAAGGGAAAGGGGGCGAGGAGCCGGCCCCGCUUCCCCCCUUGCCCCGCCGUGCCAACUUGGGCAGCUGUAACAGACGCAGCGGCUUUUUCGAACCAGAACUCCGGGCGGCGGCGGCGGCGGAGGGGGUGGUGGUGGUGGAGCGGAGGGAAGGAGCGGGAGAGACCGGCCCGGGGCCGCCUCGCCGCUCCUGCCCCGCCGCCAUGGGCACCGGGA